rnacentral:lncRNA from 1 species
CUCUUAUAUGCUUAUCAUGUUCACAUGCCUUCAUUCAUCAUUUUUUUUAUUUUUUCUCCACAUUAAAAAAUUCAUAACUUCUUGAUUACUUGUCCAAAUCACAUGGAAUUUUUUUCAAAAUGUUCAUCAUCAUGUCUACUAUUUAAUGGAUAUUUUUCCAGAAUUUGUGCACGUGUGAUUUUUUGAAUGGCCUAGGGUUUGUUCAUACUUGUGUUUGCUUGCACAU